rnacentral:lncRNA from 1 species
AUUUGCUCUCUUUAUUGUCCUUUCUUCCUCUACUUUUAGUUUUCCUUUACUGUUUCGAUUAGAACCUGAAAAUAGUAUGUUCUUACCUUGUUUGCUGCUUUGAGGAAACUAAUCAUUCAUCCCCUAGCUGCAAGCAUUGCGUAAAACCAAGUAAUUUUGCCUUUUAAUGUAGGGUAUAAUGUUUGUACAUACCAAUAUUUCUUUUAGCAAAAAUCCUGAUUAUUCUCCUUUUAUUAGUGAUUAUAUGAUUUCAAAUAUCUUUGGUGGUUUUAAUCAUGAGCUGUAUUUCUCAUUUGGCAAAUUCUUUUCUAUAUCCU